rnacentral:snoRNA from 17 species
AUGCCUGGGAUGAAGCCUGUGUUGGUAGGGACAUCUGAAAGUGCUGAUGAAUGCCAGUGGCUCUGAUGGUGGUGU